AAUCAAGACAGCUUUUAUGGAUAGGUCUCUGAUAGUUAUGAUGGCAAUCAUUUCUGUAAAUAGCAUUUAUAAUCUGGUAUCACUGUCUGUAUUAUCAGCAAAUCUUCAUGAACAGGUUCACAAACCAUUACCAAGCCUAUACAAAUUGAGAGGUCAAAAUGUCAACUUGGAAGAUUUGCUGGAGGUGAGCCUAUUUAUAGCCAAGCUGCAGGAAUCGUCAGUGGGAAUAACAGCCAUAGAUAUUCUGUUGGUCAAACAAGG